GGAGGGCGAGCUGGGGGCGGGGCCAGCGCGUGGCGUCAGCGCGCAGCACGUACCCUCCCGCUCUGGAGCCCAGGGCUCGGGGGUGACUUGCAGGUCCACUUCCGCGAGGUUUUGGGGAAGUGCAGUUCUGCUCGCUUACACAAUUUUCCCCACCCAUCAUUGUAAACGUAGUUUCCCGUCGUCGAGCCACAGACUUGUCUUCAAAUUUCUACUUUUUAAAAAACCUCCUUGGUGUGAUCUCUCCGGGACAGGAGUUUGGGAGGCAGUUCCGGAGGACUCCCGGUUUUCAUUGGUUCCUGAUGUUGUCGUUAAUAGGACUCUGUGGUCUCUGAUUGGCUCCUUAAAGCGAGGCUGCGAAUUUCCUCCGCUGAUCGGCUCACGCUCCGCUCGGCGGGCCACGCGCGUUCCGACCCCUGAUUAUCCCGUUUCACCUAAUCGGAGGUUUACCCUCCGGAGUGGUGGUGACCCGCACGGUUUCGCGUUACGAGCAUACAGCCUUGCUGGCCUCUAUCCCUGGUGGUCUCACAGCUAUCAUCAGCCUUGACCCCCUCGCUGCCCGUCCCCCUCCAUGGGUCUUUUCUUGAAACACUGGCAAGUCACCUGUAGAUUGCUGUGUACGUGGUAAUUCCACUCUCGCUGUGGGUGCUCCCAAAGGGAGUACGACCGAGGUCUCUGGCCCAAGAAAGUUAAUCAAGACCUGGCAGCCCUCCUACACAGUGUUUCAUUGGACAUGCCUUUUAAAGCUGGAGAACUACAUGAAAACCCCGAAGGACUGGAACUCACUACUCCCAGAUCAAGAGUCACACGCUCCAUGGACUGAGCCAGCCAGGCGCCCCCCAGUGGCUACUCUUAACAAAAAACCAUUAACCCACCAACUACAGAAGACAGUCUCAAAUGAUCAUCAUUGAAGAGAGAAGCCAUAUGGAGAGGCCCAAAGAAAGAGAACCCAGGCACCUCAGCUGAAUGCAGGGAGGUGGUGGAACCACCACCAUGUGGGGCAGAAGAACCGCCCAGUCAAAACCCAAAGAUUGUUCGAAAGAGCAAUUCCUCCAGCUGUGGUAUGGAGAGAGGAAGUGUGGGGAGCCAAGGAUCUAAGCCCCUUUGAGUAUUCAGACACCGACCAACUAAAGCCAGAGAAUUGACAAUAUUGACCGUUGCUGGCCUUCAUGACUUUGACCUGAACUCUGUCCCCUUAAAAUGACUUUUUCCCCAAUUCCAUGCUGGAUUCCCCAUUGGGCAAGCUGAUUCAUGAACAGCACCUGGAACUGUGUCCAGUGCAUAGUGGUGGGUUUUCUAUCCGUAUUUGUUGGCUGAACAAAUGAAUAGCAUGGAAUCGCCAGAAGGGGAUGGACCAGGGUACUUUGACACCUUGUCAGACUGUUUGCAUUUGGAAUACAAAACAGUCAGGUAUGUUUCCAAGGAAGAGGGUGGGGGACACAUCCACAGGCAUGGCUGGGUCCCCAGAUUGGAGCUGGAGCAGAGAAGGGGCCUGGAUGACAUGCCUGCGAGAGACCACCCAUCUCAGGGCCCCUGGAUGUGGUUCCUCAAGCAAAGAUUCCUUGGGCGUCAUGGACCAUCUGCCUCCUCCUAUGGAUGUCUUCAGCAUGAUCUCUCUCCCUCUCCCGCAGCAAGAGGGCUUGAUCAAGAAGGCUGGACUACAUCUGCUUUGAGGAUCAAGCAGGAGACAGAGAUAAGCUGCCACUUCCCCAAAUACAGAGUUGUACACUUUACGUCUUGAGAAUCAGACCUCCCACUGGCGGGAGCGCUUGCCCUUAACUGAUACAUCAAGGAAUCAAACCAGGUUAUUUUUGUUCAUGAGAUGGUGAAAUACACUGAAAGUAGUGAGGGGGGGAAAGGCGUGAGAGAGAAAACGCCCGCUGCUUCCACUGGGAUCCUUGCUGGCUGUUCCUGAGUUUUCCAUGGAAAGCACUUAGAUACUCAGAACAAAGGAUACUUGCUGGUGCGUGGGGCAUGUUGAAAUGCCGGGGAAAUUAACCCCUGGGAGCAGCACUCAACCGAUGAUGCAUAGAAGCUGGCGGGUAGAAGUUCAGCUCUCUCACCCCUUGGGAGGAGUAACUCUAAGUGGGAUUUUGAAAUUGAAGAUGGGAUUAUUUUCACCUGUGGAUCAACUUGGUGUAGAACAAAGAUGGCACGUACAGAAGCAGGAAUCCAGAGGCUGAGGUGAGCAUCCAUUCAUUUAUUCAUCCAUCUGUCCAUCUAUCCAUCCAUCCAUCUAUCCAUCCAUCAUCAUCCAUCAUCCAUCAUCCAUCCAUCCGUCUAUCCAUCAUCCAUCAUUCACCACCCCUCCCUCCAUCCAUCAGCCAUCCAUUCACAAUCAUACAUCACUCACCCAUCCAUCUAUCAUCCACCAUCCAUCAUUCAUCAUCCAUCCAUCCAUCAUCCAUCCAUCCUCCAUCACCCAUCCACCCAUCAUCCAUCCAUCCUCCAUCCAUCCUCCAUCUGUCUGUCUAUCCACCCACCCACCCAUUCACUAAUUCAUUUAUUCAAAUACUCAUUGAGCAUCUACCAUGUACUUGGCUCUGCUCUGGGUACUGGGGAUACUAUAAUGAAUAACAGACAGAUACCCCUUUCCCAGGAGCAGCCAAUAAGUAUGAAAAUCAGACCAUAGUAAAGCAACUGAAUAGAUUACCAAGAUAAUUUCAGACUGUGAUA